GCGGGUAUAGCUCAGUGGUAGAGCGCAUGCUUAGCAUGCACGAGGUCCUGGGUUCAAUCCCCAGUACAGCA
rnacentral:tRNA from 1 species